rnacentral:rRNA from 1 species
CCUACGGGUGGCAGCAGUGGGGAAUAUUGGACAAUGGGCGAAAGCCUGAUCCAGCCAUGCCGCGUGUGUGAAGAAGGCCUUCGGGUUGUAAAGCACUUUCAGUGGGGAAGAAAGCCUUGGGGCUAAUACCCUCGAGGAAGGACAUCACCCACAGAAGAAGCACCGGCUAACUCCGUGCCAGCAGCCGCGGUAAUACGGAGGGUGCGAGCGUUAAUCGGAAUUACUGGGUGUAAAGCGCGCGUAGGCGGUCUGAUAAGCCGGUUGUGAAAGCCCCGGGCUCAACCUGGGAACGGCAUCCGGAACUGUCAGGCUAGAGUGCAGGAGAGGAAGGUAGAAUUCCCGGUGUAGCGGUGAAAUGCGUAGAGAUCGGGAGGAAUACCAGUGGCGAAGGCGGCCUUCUGGACUGACACUGACGCUGAGGUGCGAAAGCGUGGGUAGCAAACAGGAUUAGAUACCCGAGUAGUC